rnacentral:lncRNA from 1 species
UAUCACCUUACUAUCUUGGCAGAUGAGCUAUUUUUCAGUCAACGCGUGGCGAGUCCACUUGGAACUGAAUAGGCACUGGUUCUUCUUCUUACUCUCCAUGAGCCCCUUAUACUACUGCUAUGGUUUAUGUGCCUACUUUUAACUCUCUAAUCUGAAAUUGGGCUGCUUUGUUUCAGCUGAUCUGAUAGUGUGGGUGGGAUAUACAGAACAACCUUGAGAUGUGUCUGCGACCAAUCCACAUUCGGCACAACUCCCACAACUUGAACACCAAGCUCUUUGCCAUUUAAGUACGUAUCUGCACCCCAAAUGGCUUAUUUCAAAGUGUAGAGCGUAGUUUGCAACUGAAUGGCUCAGUUUGUCCUGUGAUUGCGUCAUGUGUAAUUUAAAUUCACUACUACCAGCACUAGCCGUUGUAACUGUGGCUCACUGGUUGUAUUAGGAAAUGCUCUGCUAAUGUUUGUGCAACUCAUGACCGGUAUUUGAAUCAAUUCACUAGGCAUUACGUAACAGCUGAACACCACUUUUAUUUUAUGGUAGAUGGUUGAGAGAAUAAACUAGAUGGAUGACAAAUCCGAGAAGGGCAUUGAACAAAGUGUAGGUAUCAUGGUAAA